ensembl:lncRNA
CAAAGGCUAAAAGAUCCAGCUUAGCUCCUGUUGAAUGCUGGACUUCAGAACCCACUUCUGUGGAGAGGGUCACCAAACUGAGAGCAAUGUACUGGAACAGUCCAGAGCUUCCCCUCAGCAUCCAGCAGAGUCCAGAACUUUCAUACCUCAGAUUUCCUUACUCAAGCAGAUGUUCCCAAGUUGCUCUCUAGAUUCUACAAUAGCAAUCUCUGGAGUCCGAAAUGCCUGUAUUUGAAGAGUGAAUUUCCUUUAGUUUGAAUGUUCCUUGACUCUGAAAUAUGAAUCUCUAACUUGCCAAAAGCUCUUACAAUGUAUGAAGGCCCAGUCAGCAUUUUUAAAAUGAGAUAGACUGGGAAUACUUGAAAAGCACAAGUUCAAAGUUGAUUUUAGCAAGCAAAACCAAUGAAUCCUUUUUCUUUUUCUUUUUUUUCUUUUUUUCUUUUUUUUUUUAAUUUCAAGAAGAAAAAAUGUAUUUCUAAAGGCAACUAUAUAGUAUUCGGUUUUCUUUAUAACUUGGGAUACAUUUUUUAAAAAACCUGAAAUGCCAAAGGAAUUAGGCUCUUUAUGAAUAAUAGUGUGUGACUAAGACAGAACUACUUCUGUGUGUAGUCAGAUCUACCGCAUUAAGUCGUCAAGUACCUCCCAUCACAGCUGGAUACUACUGAUUUGUUAGACACUACACAAUUUGAAAAGAUGACUUUAAGAGCAUCGACAACGUGAAAGACCCUGAGAUCAUUGGACACUAGUUGAUGGCUGUUGGAGGCCUACUGAGAAGAGGAAUGAGAUCUGCUUUCACCAUGAAGUACUUCCCUAGAAGUCAGCCAUGACACCCCAAAAGGUAUCUGAGCUGCUGAAGGCUAUCUUUGAGACAGGACCAAAAUGGGCUGCAGUGAAAGCAGAAGAACAGGAGAUGUAAUAAUGAAGAUAUGGACAAUAAAUCAAGAAAAUGGACUUGCUGUGACAUACAGAAAUACUUUGCUGGUGCUGAAUGUAAAAAUGACUUCUUUCUUUCAAACACGUAACAUCUACCUCUCAGAGAUAAACUGAGAUGCACAGAACCUGUUCUCAGCUACCACCUAGAUGUGUCCUGCUCUUCAUUUCUGCUGAGGUCAGCAUGCUUUACAUGCAAGAACAAGCACAGGAGUCAACCCAAACUGCUUGUAGAGAGGUCUUGGACCUAGGAGUCCUAGCACAGUCCAUAUAGGUGUGAGUCAAAUAUCACAUACAACUAUCUAAUUUUUCUUGACAGCUUCUUGUACAUGAAACAAGCAGAAGUGCUCUGGAGGUUUCUCCCAAUGACAUUGCUAUGGGGAGAAUGCAUGAAGUAUUGCAUAGUGUGGUUGGGAUGGGAGGUUGACCAUAGGCAUACCUUAACAGGGCUUUAUGGUCAGUGCAUUGGAACUCAAGCUGCAGAACAGAAAUCUGCAUCAUUCAAGGCAGCAAAAGACCAACAUAGCUUGUUAUAAAACAUUUUUUCUGAAAGUAAGCAAG